rnacentral:misc_RNA from 1 species
GAUGAAGAACGUAGCAAAAUGCGAAAAGUAAUGUGAAUUGCAGAAUUCAGUGAAUCAUCGAAUCUUUGAACGCACAUUGCGCCCGCUGGUACUCCGGCGGGCACGCCUGUCCGAGCGUCAUUUCAACCCUCAAGCCCUCCUUCGGGAUGGGCCUGGUGUUGGGGCUCGGCCGCCAUCUCCGGCGGCCGUCCCCUAAAUACAGUGGCGGUCACGUCGCGACUCCUUUGCGUAGUAGAAACACCUCGCUCCGGAUAGCAACGCGGUCCACGCCGUAAAACCCCCAAUUUUCAAUGGUUGACCUCGGAUCAGGUGGGAAUACCCGCUGAACUUAAGCAUAUCAAUAAGCGGAGGA